UGAAUGCCUUGGGCGUUUUUGCCGAGGAAGGACGUAUAUGGCAGCGAUAUUCGUCGGGGAGGAGCCAUAAUCCGACAAUCCGGCGGUUUCCGAAUGGGGCAACCCCUCUAUCGCAAGAUAGAGACUGUACUGUAAAGACAGUUCGCACUCUGUUUAUAAAUUUAUAAUAAUUUUCAAUUUACAAUUUACAAUUUUUAAUCAAACGAUGAAAUUUUCAAAAGUUGUUGAUAUUAAAAUUAUCAUUGAAAAUUGAAAAAUAAAAAUUGAAAAUUUGUUUAUAGAUAGUGUGCGGACUGGGAUAGCAGUACGGAGGAUACCAUCCGAACUGAAACAUCUCAGUAGGGUGAGGAAAAGAAAUCACGAGAGAUUCCGUUAGUAGCGGCGAGCGAAAGCGGAAAAGCCUAAAUUCGUGCGGGGCACGAAGAUGCUUAGAGAAGCUUAGCAAGACCAGAAGCUUAGUAAGACAAAAACAUACUAAGCCUCUAAACUUCUAAGCUGCUAAACUUUUUCGCGCUCUGCGCGAACGUUGUAGGGCUUCCGAUAUGGGAUGAACAAGCGAUAAAAGAACACCGUGGAAUAGGUGGCCAAAGAGAGUGAAAGCCUCGUAUUCUAAAUUGCUUGUUCCCCUAGGGAGUUCCUAAGUACCAGGGGACAUGAAAGUCCUGUGGGAAUCUAGGUCGACCACGAUCUAAGGCUAAAUACAAAAACGCACCGAUAGUGAACGAGUACCGUGAGGGAAAGGUGAAAAGCACCCCGAAAGGGGAAUGAAAGAGUACCUGAAAUUGUCAGCUAACAAACAGAUAGAGCUUGUCCGUGGGACAAGAAUAAUCGAAUAAACGAAUAAGCGAAUAAACAAUAAGCGAAUGCAAAAACAAAAAAAUUGCUUAUUGAUUAUUGUUCAUUGAUUAUUGCUUAUUUUGUGAUUGGUUAUUCUCGCCCUGCGGGCGAGUGAUAUCGUGCCUAUUGAAGAAUGAACCGGUGAGUUAUCCGUCAAAGCAAGCUUAACCCUCGAAAUUUACUAACCCGAAAGAGUUUGGCCAAGCCAUUGGCUUGGAGUAAAUUUCGAGGGGGAGGCGUAGUGAAAGCGAGGCCUAAUUGGCCGACUAGUUUUGCCGGAUAGACCCGAAACCAGGUGAGCUAACCAUGAGCAGGGUGAAUCCCGAUGAAAAUCGGGAAGAGGCCCGAACUCUUCAGAGUUACAAAUCUGUGAGAUGACUUGUGGUUAGGGGUUAUAUGCCUAUCGAACCUGGAGAUAGCUGGUUCUCCCCGAAAUAUANNNNNNNNNNNNNNNNNNNNNNNNNNNNNNNNNNNNNNNNNNNNNNNNNNNNNNNNNNNNNNNNNNNNNNNNNNNNNNNNNNNNNNNNNNNNNNNNNNNNNNNNNNNNNNNNNNNNNNNNNNNNNNNNNNNNNNNNNNNNNNNNNNNNNNNNNNNNNNNNNNNNNNNNNNNNNGAAGGUGAGAAUCCUUCAUGCCGAAUGCGCAAGGUUUCCGAAGCAACGUUCGUCGACUUCGGGUAAGUCGGAUCUAAGGCGAGUCCCACAUUGUGGGAGUAGCUUGAUGUAUAAACGGUUGAUAUUCCGUUACAAGAAAGUGUUGUCUAAGACUCAAAGGGAUGACAAAGGAGGAUGGGUCUCGUGGUUGAUUCGUCGGCCACUAAGCUUCGAAAUAGUGAUAAUUGGUAAAUCCGUUAUUGCGAUUAAUUGAGAAGCAGGGAAGUCCAAACCGAAAGGGGCGGGCAAUAGAGAUAGUUCUGCUUUCGAGAAAAUUCUCGUUGAGAAGCACUUUUUUUCCGUACCGCAAACCGACACAGGUGCGCUGGUAGAGUAUACCAAGGCAAGCGGGUGACAGUGGUUCAAGGAACUCGGCAACAAAAACUAGGCGUAACUUAUGGGAGAUGCCUUGCCACGCGUAAGCGUGGUCUCAGUUAAUGACGCUAAGCGACUGUUUAACUAAAACACAGGUCUCUGCGAAGCCGAAAGGCUACGUAUAGGGGCUGACACCUGCCCAGUGCUGGUAAGUUAAGAGUGGUACGUGCGAUUAUAUCAAGCGUGCUUCUCAAGCUCCAGUAAACGGCAGCAGUAACUAUAACUGUUCUAUGGUAGGAACAAUCUGCCAUAGUGAGGUAGCCAAACCUCUUCCACUCGUGCAUAAACAAAGUGGAAAAAACUUGACUAUAUGCUGGAAAAACUUGUUAAUCCGACAGUACCUUUAAAGGUAAAAAUUUGAUCGGUAGAGUUAAUCAGCAGGAAAGACUGAUAUGAAGGAGUUGAUUAUCUCAACUUUAUUUCAAGCGCGCCUCUUUUACUUAUGCACUUUUGUGCGUCACCUAAAGAGGACAAACGACAAUAGUAGUGGAUAAAUACUUACAAAAAAAUCAGUACCACCGCGUAACGUCGAAUCAGAAUCCUCAGAGACUAUACGUCAGGGUCCCGUAUUAAGCGGGAUAAGAUAUAGUCCAAACUUCAUAUAUUUUGAAGGUUUUGAGCGAAGUUCCUUGUCGGGCAAGUUCCGACCUGCACGAAAGGUAGAACGACUUAGCGACUGUCUUGAACCAUUACCCGGCGAAAUUGAAAUGGCUGUGAAGAUGCGGCCUACUUGCACAUGGACAAAAAGACCCCAUGAAGCUUUACUGCAGUUUGGCACUGAGGACUUCGUUUUGACUGUCGAGCAUAGGUGGGACCCCGCCUUAAAACGGGGGUAAUAUGGAAUACCACUCUUCGAAAUGAGGAAAUCUUACUUACUCCUGCAUAAAAAUCCAGGAGAAGAACACUGUCUGACAGGCAGUUUAACUGGGGAGGUUGCCUCCAAAAGUGUAACGGAGGCGUACAAAGGUUGGCUAAUCCUGAAUGGAAACCAGGACCAGUCGUGCAAACGCGAUAAGCCAGCUUGACUGCGAGACGUACAUGUCGAGCAGACACGAAAGUGGGUGUUAGUGAUCCUCGAUACCCUCGUGGGAGGGUUCGGGCUUAACGGAUAAAAGCUACUCUGGGGAUAACAGGCUGAUCGCUUCCGAGAGUCCAUAUCGACGAGGCGGUUUGGCACCUUAACUAAAUACGACAUUGGGGUGCUAUCCAAGUAAUUGGGUACCAAAUAAAUCUAGCUAAUAUCGGUGGAAUCCUAAGUUGAUCGUGGCUAUUUAUAGAUCCAUAAUAGAUCUAUGGUAGGAUCAACGGAUAAUACCGAGGGAAGCUUGUUUUAGAAUUUUUGAAGUUCGAGGUGGGAUGUGGGAUAGUGAAGUGAGAUUGUUUGAAUCCUUGAUUAUAUGAUUAAGAGUUUCUUAGAUCUAGAGGUUUAUAAAGAAAGUUUUCAGCUUCAGUUGGAAAUUGAUGAGGUAUUGAAAAGCUUUCCUGUAAGUGAACGAUUUCUUCUCAUUGAUCAAAUGAGAAGAGCUUCUCGAUCAAUUCCUUCGCAAAUUGCUGAAGGAUACGCAAAACGAAAGUCAAUCAAGGAAUUUGCUAAAUAUUUAAACGCUUGUGUUGGAGAAUCUAAUGAGAUGAUGAACCAUCUUAUGUUAUCUAAACACAAAGGGUUUAUCCGAAAGCCAGGUUAUGUCGAUGAAUUAAUUCAGCGAUAUGAUCGGCUAGGGAAAAAAUUAACGAAUUUAAAGAAUAAUUGGCAAAAUUUCAAAUAAUCAAGAUUUCUCACUUCAGUAUCCCAUUUCUCACUUCCCACAUCAAAAUAUCUAUUACAUAGCCCCGUAUCGACUGAUUCCCGACGCAAGGUCGGGAUGAGAUAGUUCAAUUAUGUAUCACGAACUAUAAUACGCUGGCUCCCUGCGAGGCAGGGAUGAAGAUAUAGUCAAAUCUCAUCAGAAACGGUGAGGGCAAAUCUGUUUUUUACAGAAUUGCGAUGUCGGCUCAUCCUAUCCUGGGGCUGGAGAAGGUCCCAAGGGUCCGGCUGUUCGCCGGUUAAAAGGGUACGCGAGCUGGGUUCAGAACGUAAAUCUCAUUGCGUUCUCCGUCAGUAAUGACGGAUAAUAAACAAAGAAGUCAGAGAACUUCUCUUUUCUGUCACCUACCGAGGAAAAGUACAGAAAAGUUUCGACUAAAAUCGGUGAAACCCAAAGAUGGUAACCGACCGUUUAUGGGUAAUACCGAGGGUAAGACAAGCAUGAAACAGGAAAAUCGAGCAUAUAUUGCAGGAUUUUUAGACGGAGAUGGAUGCAUAAUGCUGCAACUGGUAUAUCGGCACGAUUAUGUGUUGGGAUAUCAGAUUCGGGCAAGCAUCGUUUUCUAUCAAAAACAACAAUAUCGCUGGUUUCUUUCCUGGCUUCAAGAUCAAUUUGGUGGUAUUGGCUAUAUUCGUAAUCGCAAUGAUGGAAUGAGCGAAUACACUAUUGUGGGCAUAGCAGAUGUGAAGAACGUAUUAACAGUACUUUCUCCACAUCUUCGAAUGAAAAAGCCGCAGGCGGAAAUAACGCUGAAGGUGAUUUCACAAAUGCCCGGAUCUGGGAGAAAAAUGACCAAAGAAAAGCUCUUAACGCUUUCAAAAGAUGUUGAUCGCUUUUUAAAAUUAAAUUAUUCAAAGAGGCGAACCAAUACAUCAGAGAAAUUGAAAGCAUUUUUAGCUUCACAUACUUGAUCCCGUAGAGACUUGCUUCGCGAGAGGCAGAUCCCGACAAUGCGUCGGGAUAACACGUCGACUCCCGAUUAAAUCGGGAUGAAGAUAUAGUCCAAACAGCUAGUAAUAGUUGAAUAUUUUGCGUGAGACAGUUCGGUCUCUAUCCUGUGCAAGCGUUGGAUUCUUGAGGGGAGCUCUCUCCAGUAGACGCGAUGAGCGUCAUGCUCUCCCAUACCGUAAGGUGUGGGAUGUAAUCGGCUUAAGAACGGUGAAGUCUUCCUGAUGAUAUGGUACGAUGGAAUCGAUGCGAGAGGACCAUAAAUCAAAAGAUAAUACCGUGGGAAGUCGACAAAAAAUAAAGAUCCAGGAUUUAGCAUAUAUAGCAGGAUUCUUAGAUGGUGAUGGAAGUAUCAUGAUACAGGUGAAGCGUCGUUCCGACGCCCCAAGAGGGUGGAGGAUUAUGGCAACCAUCUGUUUGUACCAAGAUACUCAUCACAAAGCUCCAUUACUAUGGAUGCGUGAUGUGUUUAGGAUUGGGUAUAUAUCCAACCGCAAUGACCAUAUCACUGAGUUACGUAUUAAUGGAUAUAGUGAAGUCAAAAGAAUUCUACUAUUGCUUCAACCGUUUAUAAAAUUUAAGCGGAAACAAGUAGUAUACGCACUUCGUAUACUGACGAGUUUAGAAAAGAAGCCAAUUGCUGCAAUCCCAAAAGAAGAACGAUUAGCGAUUGCUGACGAUAUUAUCGCUUUGAGGGGAGAGAAUUACCAAUCCCAUCAGAGGCGAUAUACGGAUGCAUCAAUAAAAGAACUUCUUGGAUUCUAAAGUUUUUUGUUUGACCCUGUAACGACUGAUCCCGCCUAAGUGGCGGGAGAGAUAGGAAUUAAUGUUUUCCUAUAACACGCCGACCUCCCCCGAUUUGAUCGGGGGAAGAAGAUAUAGUCUAAGCUUUCAGAAAUGAAAGAACAACUUGACGAGAGGACCGAGAGGGACAGAUCCCUGGUGUGCCAAUUGUCGGACAACCGGCAGCGUUGGGUAGCUAGAUCUGGACGGGAUAAGUGCUGAAAGCAUCUCAAGCACCAAGCCCACCCCAAGAUGAGGAAUCGUUAUAGACCACCCGAAGAAUACGGGUUUGAUAGGCGAGAAGUGUACGCGUCGUAAGGCGUUUAGCUUACUCGUACUAAUUGGUCGAUGU
rnacentral:rRNA from 1 species